AAGAGUGGCGAACGGGUGAGUAACACGUGGGUACCCUACCUCUUAGCAGGGGAUAACAUUUGGAAACAAGUGCUAAUACCGUAUAACACUAACAACCGCAUGGUUGUUAGUUGAAAGAUGGUUCUGCUAUCACUAAGAGAUGGACCCGCGGUGCAUUAGCUAGUUGGUAAGGUAAUGGCUUACCAAGGCGAUGAUGCGUAGCCGAGUUGAGAGACUGAUCGGCCACAAUGGGACUGAGACACGGCCCAUACUCCUACGGGAGGCAGCAGUAGGGAAUCUUCCACAAUGGGCGCAAGCCUGAUGGAGCAACGCCGCGUGUGUGAUGAAGGGUUUCGGCUCGUAAAACACUGUUAUAAGAGAAGAACGACAUUGAGAGUAACUGUUCAGUGUGUGACGGUAUCUUAUCAGAAAGGAACGGCUAAAUACGUGCCAGCAGCCGCGGUAAUACGUAUGUUCCAAGCGUUAUCCGGAUUUAUUGGGCGUAAAGCGAGCGCAGACGGUUAUUUAAGUCUGAAGUGAAAGCCCUCAGCUCAACUGAGGAAGGGCUUUGGAAACUGGAUAACUUGAGUGCAGUAGAGGAAAGUGGAACUCCAUGUGUAGCGGUGAAAUGCGUAGAUAUAUGGGAAGAACACCGGUGGCGAAAGCGGCUUUCUGGGACUGUAACU
rnacentral:rRNA from 1 species